GAUGAACGCUAGCGGGAGGCUUAACACAUGCAAGUCGAGGGGCAGCACAGGUAGCAAUACUUGGUGGCGACCGGCGGACGGGUGCGUAACGCGUAUGCAACCUACCUUAUACAGGGGGAUAGCCCGGGGAAACUCGGAUUAAUAUUCCAUAGUUCAGUAAAUUCGCAUGGGAUUACUGAUAAAACUCAGGUGGUAUAAGAUGGGCAUGCGUCUGAUUAGGUAGUUGGUAGGGUAACGGCCUACCAAGCCGACGAUCAGUAGGGGUUCUGAGAGGAUCAUCCCCCACACUGGUACUGAGACACGGACCAGACUCCUACGGGAGGCAGCAGUGAGGAAUAUUGGUCAAUGGGCGCAAGCCUGAACCAGCCAUCCCGCGUGAAGGAUGAAGGCCUUAUGGGUUGUAAACUUCUUUUGUACCUGAAGAAACCCUUCUACGUGUAGGAGGUUGCCGGUAAGGUACGAAUAAGCAUCGGCUAACUCCGUG
rnacentral:rRNA from 1 species